GUUGUGUUUUAUUGUGUUCCCUUUUCUGUGUGGCACAUGCAAAACUUAUUUUUACAAUAUUUUUAAUGUUUGUAACACCAGUUACUCCACCACCUGGUAGAGCGGGUCAGCUGGUAACUGCAAGGUUGCUAGUUGGAUCCCCGGCUCCUCCUAGCUGAGUGUCGAGUUGUCCUGUUCUUGCGCCUUGCCUACAAAAAUGCAGUCCAUUUACCACCAGGUACAUGUCCCAUGACAAGUUUGGACUGUGGCAGCUGGGCGUCACGCACGUCUUGAACGCAGCUCAUGGCAAAAUGUGCUGCAAAGGGAGUGCGGAUUUCUACGGCACCACGGUGAAGUACCAUGGCGUGCCAGCCAGUGACCUGCCCACCUUUGACCUUUGACCUUUGUUCCACACCUCUGCGCUGUUUAUUCACGAGGGUCUGACAUCGGGAGGCAAGGUGUUUGUGAACUGUGCCGUGGGAGUGAGUCGUUCAGCUGCUGUCGUUUUGGCCUACCUCAUGAUCCCUCGUCACCUCAGCCUUGUGUCUUCCAUUCGCCUUGUUCAGCAGAAGCGCUGGGUUUUCCCCAACCGGGGCUUCCUGCAACAGCUUAUUGCCCUUGAUCGGAACCUACAGCGGGAGAGAGAAUGAUAACCCAUCCCACACAUUGUGAUUCACUUUGAGCCUCUCCUACUCUCAGGCAGUAUGUCUUAUUUAAUGUACCGUCAUUUGAUAUAAUCUGAUAUGACGCCACUCAGGAACAGUGCAUAAUAAUCUUGGGUAUAAUAAUAAUAAUCAUUUGCCAUGGAGAAUGGAAAGGAUAAAGAAUGAAUUAUUCAUUCAA